GACGCGCCGUUGCGUUCGCUCGCCGCCUCGCGCUAUGUUGUGCGACCAAACCGCGUGUGCGCGGACAACGCGUUUGUUCGUAAGUUAAUUCGUUGUGCCGUUUUGCCAACUAAUACGCGUCCCUGUUUGCGUCGCCGCCGACAAUUCAGUACCUUUGAGUGCGCGGUUGAACUCGUCGGACGCUACGCAGUUUAUCGCCCUAAUAACGCCGCGGCAAGUUAGCCCCGUUAUUUGGCAGUAAUUAAUAUAUACAUAUAUAUAUAUUACGUGCCGUCGGCAUUUACGAGCCGGACAGCCCGGACACACACCGUAUAUACAUAUCGUGUAUUAUUGUUCAUCCUCCCGUGGAUUGCGUACCACGCGGUUGGAUCCGCGAUUAUGUAAAUAAUACGUAGUUAUCUACCAGGCCAAUUUCUUACCCGUGGAGAAAGUGCCGAAUUGAAGAACCCAUUGCAGUCCCCAGAGUUCAGGUUGUAACCAGUGGAGAUGAGGUCUUCUGCGUGUUCGCCCAUGCUUCAUACGCGAUCAGUGUAUUUUAGAAGUUUUCAUUAAAGUUACGAGUAUACCAACAUAUCUAUAGAUGGAUGACGGAAUAAAUGACGGAAUAACUGAAACCCGGAAUCAUGGGAAUCGUCAGGUACUCAGGUCAACAAAAUCUUCAAAAAAAAAAAAAUAUAUAAAUAAAAUACCUGAUUUUAAUGCAGUCGGUGGGACCUAAAAUCGUUAAUUCAGUACUAGGAACCAAUAAGGAAAAUGCGUCGUUCGUCGAUUGAUGUACAACUACACCAAGUAAAAUCUUGUUCACGUUAUAGUACGCAGGUAUAUUAUUGUAUCGUUUGUAGCUCUGUAUACUGUCCGACGUCGAUAUCGUCUUUCUAGGCCCCUGGUACUGCGAACAACGAUCAGUCGUUAAACAGUUUGCUGUUUUACUUGAUAAUUUUGUGUUUUCUCACACUUCUUUAGCCCAGUCUACAAGAAAUAAUUGAGUCUAUAUACUAGUCUAUAUUUACUUAAGUAAUCAUGGAUUUUUUUUUUUAUGUGCCAAUAUCCAAGUUUAACUAAGACAGUUUAGAGAUGUUUUUUGGAAUUGGAAUUAGACAGGUUUUUGGGCCCAACGACCAUCCAACAGCACCCACAUUCCUUCAACUUUAUUAUAUGCUGUCAAUGUACUAUUUGGUAAAAUCUUAAAUUUUAAAAUUAUUCAAGAUGACUACUGGGACCUAACCUGGGACUGCUUGGAUGACAUUUUGUUAGAAUACAAUUAUACAGACUAAUAAUCGGUACGAGCGGCCAAAUACUCUGCAUGGGCGUGACUUUGUUCCACGGAUGCACCGCCGCGCGCCGUCGACAAGAGCGUCACAUUAUUGAAGUAACAACUGCCGAUAAGUUCAAAUAAUUUAAAAUGUACCGUGAGCACUGAGCACGACGCACGCGCGCACUACCUAUCAGACUGAAAGUACGGGCGACUGAAGUGUCCCGAGAGAACACGACAAAUUGAAUCAACAAGUUGCCUGCGCGCCCGCCGACGAAAACUGGUCGCCGCCGUGUACCUAUCUCAUUUUGAAUAGACUAUAGAUGGAAUUAUUGACGAAAAAACUCUCGUCGAAAUUAAAGCUCCAUAUUCGGCGAAAAACAGCCAAAAUGCAAUUGAGACGGUUGAGAGUGGUAAAUUACUUUACUGUAAAAAUAGAAAACGGCCAAUUAAAAUUGAAACAUAAUCAUAAUUACUUUUAUCAUGGGCAAGGUCAACUUCACAUUUCAAAAAGAGACAUUUGUUAUUUUAUUAUAUAUUCUCCUCAGUAAUUAGUGGAUUUCAGUUGAAAAAAUAAAAUAUGAAAAUUAUUUUUGGAUUACGAAAAUGGUCGAUAAAUUAAAAACAUGAGAAUAUUAAAUAUUUAAGCUAAGUUAUUUAUUAAUUAUAUACUACAUAACGUCAUAACAUUUACAUUGUUUUAUCUAGAUUUUAUUUGGACUGUUUGCUUCUAGACAUUUUAGAUCCAGCUUAUAAAAUAUAUAUAAAUAUUGCUUGAUGGUGUCAGAUAUUAGGAAAUCAAAUAAAGUGGAAGCAUUAAAAAAUAAAAA